rnacentral:lncRNA from 1 species
CCCGAUCUCGACCGAUGGUAAACUUCAUCUGAACUCCUACGGAGCCGGACUUCGCCCCUGACUUUAAUUGUAGGUUGACUCCGCCCGGACUCCCACGGGAGCCGGACCUCGCCCCCGACUUUGACUGAAGGAAGACUCCAUCCGGACUCCUAUGAGAGCCAAACUCCGAGCUCCUCUCAGACGGGUGGCUAGUCACCUCUCUCCGCCAGACACUCCAGCCGAGCGGGACUC